rnacentral:tRNA from 1 species
GGGCCGUUAGCUCAGUUGGUAGAGCAGUGGACUUUUAAUCCAUUGGUCGAAGGUUCGAGUCCUUCACGGCCCA